rnacentral:rRNA from 1 species
AUGGCAGCAGGCACGAAGGGCGACGGGCCGGCGAUCGGCAUCGACCUCGGGACGACCUACUCCUGCGUGGCCGUCUGGCGGCCGGUGCACCAGCGCGUGGAGGUCAUCGCCAACGACCAGGGCAACCUCACCACGCCUUCCUGCGUCGCCUUCACCGACACCUGGCGUCUCAUCGGCGACGCGGCCAUGAACCCCGUCAACACCGUCUUCGACGCGAAACGACUGAUUGGUCGACGAUUCAGCGAAGAGUCUGUGCAAGAAGAUAUGAAGUUGUGGCCCUUCAAAGUCAUUUCAGGCACCAGUGAUCGGCCGAUGAUUGCUGUGAAGUACAGGGGUGAGGAGAGGCAGUUCACAGCCGAAGAAAUCUCCUCCAUGGUGCUUGUCAAGAUGAGGGAGACAGCGGAGGCCUACCUCGGCACCACGGUGAAAGAUGCUGUCAUCACCGUCCCAGUCUACUUCAACGACUCGCAGCGCCAGGCCACCCUGGAUGCCGGUCUCAUUGCUGGCCUCAACGUCACACGCAUCAUCAACGAGCCCUCGGCCGCCGCCAUCGCCUACGGUCUUGACAACACGUCCGUUAGUGGUGAUGCCAUUGCGAAGACGGUGCUCAUAUUUGAUUUUGGUGGCGGUACCUUGGACAUCUCUGUCAUAAACAUUGACAAAGGCACAUUUGCAGUCAAGGCCACGUCCGGUGACACCCACCUUGGAGGGGAGGACCUCAACAACCGAAUGGUGGAACACUUCGUGCAGGAAUUCUUGAAGAAACACAAGAGUGACAUCGGUGGCAAUCCGAGGGCGCUGAUCCGGCUUAGGACGGCCUGCGAGAGGGCCAAGAGGAUGCUGUCUUCCACGGCGCAGGCCAAGUUCGAGAUCGACUCGCUCCACGAUGGCAUUGACUACUAUGGAUCCAUCACUCGCGCCCUGUUCGAUGAACUCAACAUGGAUAUCUUCCGCAAGUGCAUUGAGCAUGUGGAGAAGUGCCUCGGCGACGUCAAGAUGAACAAGUCACAGAUCGACGACGUUGUGCUCGUCGGCGGCUCCACCAAGAUCCCCAAGGUGCAGCAGAUGCUGCAGGAUUUCUUUGACGGGAAGAAGCUCUGCAAGAGAAUCAAUCCGGACGAGGCUGUCGCGUACGGCGCUGCUGUUCAGGCAGCCAUCCUCAACGGCGAGUACAACCAGCAGGAGAAGGACUUUCUCCCUCUGGACGUCACGCCGCUAUCACUCGGGAUAGAGGCGGAAAUAGAUCGUUUCAUGAGUGUGGUGAUACCCAGGAACACCACAAUACCUGUCAAGAAGGAGGGAGUUUAUACGACAAUUCACGACAACCAGACGAGCAUUCUCAUCCAGGUGUACGAGGGUGAAGCGGCAUUCACCAAGGACAACAGGCUUUUGGGCAAGUUCACGCUCAAUGGCAUCCAUCUAGCGCCGAGUCGCGUCCCACGGAUCAAUGUGACAUUCGAAAGCGAAGCAAAUGGUAUUCUGAAGGUGCUGGCAGAGGACAGGACAACUGGAAACAAGAACAGCGUCACCAUCACCAGCGACCAGGGUGGGCUGAGCGCGGAGGAGAUCGAGCGCAUGGUGCGUGACGCCAACACAUACAAAUCCGAGGACAACAAGCGGAUGAUGAAGUGA